CAAUUGCUUAUAACCUUUUGGUUAUAAAUUAGGAAUCUACCUAGUAGUAUGGAAUAGCCAUUAGAAAUGAUGGGUAAUACUGUAUAAUCCCUGCGGGGGAAAGAUUUAUCGCUAUUAGAUGAGCCUACGUUAGAUUAGCUAGUUGGUAAGGUAAUGGCUUACCAAGGCUAUGAUCUAUAGCUGGUCUGAGAGGACGAUCAGCCACACUGGAACUGAGAUACGGUCCAGACUCCUACGGGAGGCAGCAGUGGGGAAUAUUGGACAAUGGGUGAAAGCCUGAUCCAGCUAUGCCGCGUGAGUGAAGAAGGCCUUCGGGUUGUAAAACUCUUUCAAUAGGGAAGAUAAUGACGGUACCUAUAGGUACCGUCAUUAUCUUCCCUA
rnacentral:rRNA from 1 species